AGAGUUUGAUCCUGGCUCAGGAUAAACGCUGGCGGCGUGCCUAACACAUGCAAGUCGAACGCACUGCGCAAGCAGUGAGUGGCGGACGGGUGAGGAACACGUGGGUUAUCUACCUUGAGGUGAGGAAUACCGGCGAGAAAUCGCCGACAAUACCGCAUACGUUUGGAAACAAACAAAGCUUCUUCGGAGGCGCCACAAGAUGAGCCUGCGCCCGAUUAGCUAGGUUGGUGGGGUAACGGCCUACCAAGGCAACAAUCGGUAGCUGGUCUGAGAGGACGAUCAGCCACACUGGGAUUGAGAACGGCCCAGACUCCUACGGGGGGCAGCAGUGAGGAAUUUUCGUCAAUGGGGGCAACCCUGAACGAGCAACGCCGCGUGCAGGAAGAAGGUUUUCGGAUCGUAAACUGCCUUUCUUGGGGAAGAGAACGGACGGUACCCAAGGAAUAAGCCCCGGCUAACUACGUGCCAGCAGCCGCGGUAAUACGUAGGGGGCAAGCGUUGUCCGGAUUUAUUGGGCGUAAAGCGCACGCAGGCGGUCUCUUAAGUUUCGAGUGACAGGUGGUGGCUUAACUACCACAGGCCUCGGAAAACUGGGAGACUUGAGGACGAGAGAGGGACGCGGAAUUCCAGGUGGAGCGGUGAAAUGCGUAGAGAUCUGGAAGAACACCAAAGGCGAAGGCAGCGUUCUGGCUCGUAACUGACGCUCAUGUGCGAAAGCCAGGGGAGCGAACGGGAUUAGAUACCCCGGUAGUCCUGGCCGUAAACGAUGACCACUAGACGUGGGAGGUAUCGACCCCUUCCGUGUCGGAGCUAACGCAUGAAGUGGUCCGCCUGGGGAGUACGGUCGCAAGAUUAAAACUCAAGGAAUUGACGGGACCCGCACAAGCAGCGGAGCGUGUGGUUUAAUUCGAUGCAACGCGAAGAACCUUACCAAGACUUGACAUGGACUCGCACCA
rnacentral:rRNA from 1 species